rnacentral:lncRNA from 1 species
CUUUUUCUUAAUUGAUAUAUUUUGAAAACUUUACAAGAUCAUUUGCAAUAGGGACAAUUGUUUAUAUUCGUCUGAAAAGUUCCUUAUUUUAUGAUUUAUUCUUCUUAGAAGGUUAAUAUUGAAAAUACCUUUUUUAUGUUCUAACAUGUUUCAAAUAUAUAUGUAGAGUUAAAUUUUGUUAAUAAACUGUUAACAAUAGUUGUUAUCUUUAUAAAAUUACUAUUUUGCCUUCUUAAAUAUAUUCUUCUAUUAUCACCGACUUUUCUUAUUUGCCUUUAAGUUUAGGGACACAAAAUGUAUUUGAUUGUUGGUCUUUUCAAAUAUACCCUUCUUUCAUUACCAACAUUUCUUAUUUACUCUUAAGUUAAGGACAAAAGAGACAUUUUAAAUUUUUUUAACUUUAGUAAAUAUUUAACUCAUGUUUAAUCUAAGUUAACUUAACGAAUAGUAAAUGUAGGGGUAUUUAGAAAAAAAUGAAGGAACAUAUGAAGAGUGUAUUGAAAAGAAAAAAAAGUAGGGGUAAAGAAGAUAGUACUAAAAUUUUGAGGAGUAUACAGAAAAUUAUCCUUUUGUAAUG